ACGAGCUGAGGCAUCUGGGUCCACCUCCCACCCGUGUUUAUUUUACCUUGUUGCUUCGGCGGGCCCGCCUUAACUGGCCGCCGGGGGGCUUACGCCCCCGGGCCCGCGCCCGCCGAAGACACCCUCGAACUCUGUCUGAAGAUUGAAGUCUGAGUGAAAAUAUAAAUUAUUUAAAACUUUCAACAACGGAUCUCUUGGUUCCGGCAUCGAUGAAGAACGCAGCGAAAUGCGAUACGUAAUGUGAAUUGCAAAUUCAGUGAAUCAUCGAGUCUUUGAACGCACAUUGCGCCCCCUGGUAUUCCGGGGGGCAUGCCUGUCCGAGCGUCAUUGCUGCCCUCAAGCCCGGCUUGUGUGUUGGGCCCCGUCCCCCGAUCUCCGGGGGACGGGCCCGAAAGGCAGCGGCGGCACCGCGUCCGGUCCUCGAGCGUAUGGGGCUUUGUCACCCGCUCUGUAGGCCCGGCCGGCGCUUGCCGAUCAACCCAAAUUUUUAUCCAGGUUGACCUCGGAUCAGGUAGGGAUACCCGCUGAACUUAAGCAUAUC
rnacentral:rRNA from 1 species